UUUUAGGGUAAGGUGGUGUCCCUCGAGGGCUUCCACCCAUCCCCUUUAAAAGCCGGACCUUCCCGCUUUUCUCUUCCAUCUGUUUCGUUUUCUAGCUUUGGGUUCUCAAUCUGAGAUUUUCUUCAAUAGCUUACUCUAACCAGAAAAAUACUCUAAACCUUUCCCUUUGAAUUUUUUCGAUUUUAAUUGGUGAUGAAGAUGAUGAAAGCAAUGGACGGGUGAUGAUCAACCUUUUCUUCAUUUGAUCAAAAAUAUCCUCGCUACGUUCUUUCUGAUUCAUUCUCUGUAAUGCCGAGAGAGAAGAAAUCCAGGCAUAUUAUUUGAUUCUGCUUCAAUAUUUUGCAGUCGGAGAUUGGAUAGGCUAUUCCUUGAUUGAUUGCCACAUGUAAUGGGUUUGGCUGUGGGCUGUCAGAGACCUGGAAGGUCCGGGUAUCAAGCCCAAUGCAUAUCAACUUUAAUUUCAGAAUGAAAGGACAAAAUUCAGCACCUAUAACAUCCUCACUGCUCAUAUACGGCAUUGUGUGAUCAACCUACCAAGUCAUAGACGGCGGAUGAUGGACGGUCCAGGUUGCACCCUAAACUCCCCGUCCCAAUACCACGGCAAUGUAAUCUUCUCCAGCACUGCAACAGUGAUUACUCUACUCGGUGGUCUUCUAUCGGAACCUGUUAUGGAUAGGGUAAUGAAUAUGUAGCGUUUAAUGUCCAAAUCUCAUCAUUGUCAGUUGAAGCUGGACCGUGGCUGCCUCUUUAUGAAGCAGAACGGUGUGGUCCUGUGUAAAUGGUGCAGACCGCAAACCUCUCGCACCAAACUCUUUGAACAACUUCAUUGCCAAAUUUAAUAGUUGAUGCACCAAUAAGAAAGUGGAGAGACAGAGAGUAUAAUACAACGUAAAUCUCAUGGUUUUGAACACAAUUUAAAGAAAACAUGAGAUUAGAUAA